rnacentral:rRNA from 1 species
CUAAUACAUGCAAGUCGAGCGAACAGACGAGGAGCUUGCUUCUCUGACGUUAGCGGCGGACGGGUGAGUAACACGUGGAUAACCUACCUAUAAGACUGGGAUAACUUCGGGAAACCGGAGCUAAUACCGGAUAAUAUAUUGAACCGCAUGGUUCAAUAGUGAAAGACGGUUUUGCUGUCACUUAUAGAUGGAUCCGCGCCGCAUUAGCUAGUUGGUAAGGUAACGGCUUACCAAGGCAACGAUGCGUAGCCGACCUGAGAGGGUGAUCGGCCACACUGGAACUGAGACACGGUCCAGACUCCUACGGGAGGCAGCAGUAGGGAAUCUUCCGCAAUGGGCGAAAGCCUGACGGAGCAACGCCGCGUGAGUGAUGAAGGUCUUCGGAUCGUAAAACUCUGUUAUUAGGGAAGAACAAAUGUGUAAGUAACUAUGCACGUCUUGACGGUACCUAAUCAGAAAGCCACGGCUAACUACGUGCCAGCAGCCGCGGUAAUACGUAGGUGGCAAGCGUUAUCCGGAAUUAUUGGGCGUAAAGCGCGCGUAGGCGGUUUUUUAAGUCUGAUGUGAAAGCCCACGGCUCAACCGUGGAGGGUCAUUGGAAACUGGAAAACUUGAGUGCAGAAGAGAAAAGUGGAAUUCCAUGUGUAGCGGUGAAAUGCGCAGAGAUAUGGAGGAACACCAGUGGCGAAGGCGACUUUCUGGUCUGUAACUGACGCUGAUGUGCGAAAGCGUGGGGAUCAAACAGGAUUAGAUACCCUG